rnacentral:rRNA from 1 species
UACGUAGGGGGCGAGCGUUGUCCGGAAUCAUUGGGCGUAAAGCGCGCGUAGGCGGUUACGCAAGUCGGUUGUGAAAAUCCGGGGCUCAACCCCGGAUCUGCAUCCGAUACUGCGUGACUAGAGGUAGGUAGGGGAGAUCGGAAUUCCUGGUGUAGCGGUGAAAUGACGCAGAUAUCAGGAGGAACACCGGUGGCGAAGGCGGAUCUCUGGGCCUUACCUGACGCUCAGGCGCGAAAGCUAGGGGAGCGAACAGG